GGACGGGGUGAGCUCCAGAGGGCCCUUCCAGCCCCCACCAGUCUGGGAUUGUGUGUGGAUCCCUGCAUAUUUCAAAAAUUACGUGCAUUUUUAAGGUGGCUUUGACGUGAUUGUCACUCUCUAAAAACAGGGCAUAAGAGCUUGAGGGCCUUGGGUAUCUUCUGCUGUGUGACAGCAUCACGUCAGGCAGGUGGGGAUGGACGGGUGCUCGGUGGUACCGGCAGUCGUAACCUCGUGGCUUCAAAAGAGCUUUGAAAACUCACAGCAGCCGAGCUGCCGAGUUUCCUCUUUCACUGCGAGCUUUCAGCAUGCAAUCUCCGUUUUGAACAUGGCAUUCAUCUGAAGUAUUCAUUAAGAUGGGGAAUUAUUUGCAUAUUAUUAGCAUUAUUACAUGGAAAUAAAGCUGCUGCUGGUUCUUCCCUCCCUCCAUGUAUCUUUCAUCACCCGCCUUUAUAACUGCUUUGAAUCCUGUUUGUUGUGUGACAAACUGGGCUGAUAAAUCUCGUUACUCACUUGAAUGGCUGGGAGACUCAUUUCACAUUACUGAAUUUUGUGAAUUAUGUAAUAAAUGCAUAAUUAAAAUUAAACCCAGAGCCUCUCGUGGAACCUUAUAAAAUUCCGUUCAUGAUGAAUUAUAGAGAAAUGUACAUGGGUAUUACAAUUGAAGCCUAAUUAUUUGGAUUUAUUUUUAAUCAAUAUUUAAUAUGCUACCUAUAAGUUCCUGCAUACCCACAGCAAAUCUGCUAGUGCGGCUUUGCUGGAAAGCACAGAAAGUGUGUGUGUGUAGCGUAAGAUGUUUGUUUUCAUUGCGCUUCAUAUUUUAAUAUUUGAUUACAGAAAGAAAAACUCCCCUGAGCACAAUGUGCUCAAAAAUUUCUUCAGCUGAGGGAAGUGACUGCUAGGAGUCUGCUUCACCCAAGUCUUUUCCCACCUGAUCACCUUUGAAUAUUGUGGUUGAUUGGAGGAGGAUUUCAGUCAUAGGAAAUAAUUCACCCUAAUGGACCACCACUUGGUUGUUCACUCAUUGAAUUGUCAUUAAAAUCAUCCUGAAAAAUCUUCUCCGCGAUGUAUUUCCGCAGUCCUGAUUCUUAUUUAAAGGCAGCUGCCCAAACUGCUGUCAGGUUUAAACUCGAGACGCGCUAAAAACUUAUUGUCUACGUGCUAAAACGGGCGUUAGAGAUAUUUUCCAGCGCCGUGGAACAGAGAAGUGAUCUUUUCAAGGCAAACAGCCUGCAAGCUCCCGUUUAAUUUUGAAAGGUUUGUCUCUUAAGUACGAAAUUGAAUAGAAGGGAUUUUAUUCCCCUAAAUCCUCGAUUCUCGUGAAAGCAGCUUGAGACCUCAGUAAGAGAAUUAACACACGGGUUAAACUUACAAUAAGAAGCAGUACUUGGGAAAUGCCUAUUCGGAUGCCGUUAAGGAAAUAAUAGCAUUAGUUCUUGUCGUGUCAGUGUGGAUUCCUCGCGCUGCCGGCUGCGUGCUGACACGCGUACGUUGGAUGUUGCUGGCCCGGGCGUGAAAUUGAGGACAAUGAAAAUAAAGAUGACUUUUCUUGGAGGCGAUUCAUUUGAAUGUUUAAGCCGGUACUUCUGCACACACAUAGGACAGGUAAUUCAGUAUGACAAAUAAGGCACUAAUAAUCCCCCCCGAUGCUGUUGUUUGUGACCGAGAUGAUCUUAAUUGCAGCUGUGUAACUGGUAAAAUGCCUUUAUCCUAAACCAGGAAUACGCCGUGGCAAACGUGUUUUGUGCUCUUCUAAGCAGAUUUCUAUUCGUUUCUGGCAUCUCUUAGAAACAUAAUACAGUUUUUUACCUCUUAUUUCCAUUACGUGUGUUUUUUUAUGAGCCAUUCAUUGUCCCAAUGUAUAUAUAUUUUAAUGAAUAUACAUUACAUCCAUCACUUAAGAGAAAGCAUUUUUAAUAUCUUGAUUUUAUUUAUUUAUUUAUUUACAAUUCAUGGUAAUCCAGAAUCCUGAAACGAAGCAUUGUUUUCAGUUUCUUCUGUCUGCCAUUUCGUAAUCAUCCAUGUGUAUCUUUAUUUUUAGCUUUAAGCGAAAGACGUGACGCGUUAAGGCUGAACUGGGGUUAUUUUGACAUCAUCUGGUUUCAUCAUAGAAGGUGCUGUAGGAGAUCGUCCUGCUGAAAAACUUCCAACAAAAUGGUAAUGAGGAAAAAAAAAGGCUUCUGCUGUGCUGUCGUUCUUCUGUUUCUUUGUCUUUAGACACAACUACUGCUUCUUUGCACAGCUUCUCUUUACCUUUCUGCGGGGUUUGCUGUUGCAUAUAGCCCUGGGUGUCCCGUAAAUCCCCCAGAAGCCAGUGCUCUGGGAGCAGAGGGGAGGUUAGGCCGCAUUUUACCAAGCAAAAACCCGCCUGACUAAGAAUGAUGGAAAGUUUUGUAGAGGCACAUAAUUGGCAGGUGUAGCAAAUUCAUCUCUAAAUUAACAACAGCGGAGGAAACAACGUAGGCAUGUGCUGAAGCUGGUAUUUCAUCUCCUACGAGUGCAUGUCUGAGAGUUUACCUAAGUACUCCCUGAAGCUGGAACUUAAGAAGGAAGCAAAAAAUAAAAAGUUGCUUUACAGAUUGUUUUAAUACAGAGAGUAUUUGCUGUGUUUUGGCACAAGAUAUAUUUAGGGUGUGCGUGUGAAGGUUAUGAAAGGCCUUUCUUCGCAUUUUGAAGUGAUAGACACGUGCAGCUAACGCUGUCUGGUUCGAGUUGCAGCUAAAUAAGUGCUUGUUUCAGACAGUGUAUGUUUUAGCGUAGUGUUACUCGAUCCUCGCUCAAGUAAUCUUUUCAAGCUGAAUAAUCUUAGGAUUCUGGAGAACAGCAAUCUGUCAUAUUAGGUAGCUCGCAGUCCAGGAUUAAAAAAAAAAAGUUCUGUAAAAAGGAAUUAAUUUGGAAGAGCCACACUGAAUGCAUAGAAGUAUAUGCACAUGAGAAGUUUAUUGUCCGUACCAGAAAACUGUACGUUACUGUACCAUAUAUUUUUCAUAUUCUUGGACUGCUCUUUGCAUGAAAUGCCUCAUUCUGCGCUUCUCUGUAGCUGUUCCUUUCUUACUCAGUAACGGGAGUUGCUCUCUUCUAACAAAAAGUGCUUAUCCAUAUUAUGUGUCUUUUUACGUGUGUCCAUUUAAAUUAAUAUUUAACAGAUCAAAGACACAUGUGUGAUAUAACAUGUCCGCUUAUGUCUAAUCGUUACUUCAUAUGAUCUAGCCUUUUUGUACUUAAUUUUUUUGUGCCUUUUAUCUACCAGGAUAUUUUUUAGAUGGCAGUGUAAGGAGUUGAUUUACACUUGAAAGUGGACUUUUUCUUUUGGAGUACUUCUGGGUUUAUUAGUUAGCAGUAUCCUUUUACCAGCACAGCUAACGCUGCACUUACAGUGUGGAAGGCUGUUUCAUCCCAAACCAGGUAUCCCCACUCCUGUUCCAGUACAAGCUGACUUCAUUUAUCUACAAGUUAGGUGUCCAGUCUGAGCUACUUGUCUUGGCUCCCGCCCAGUUGACAGCACUGACACCGCGAUGUGUCCUCUCUUAGCGAUCCUGUCCCUCCAUUGACUCCAGCUUUGACUGGAGACCCACCUCCGACAGCUGACGUUUGGUGGGAUGAACUCGGCUUCCCCAUCAGCAGAGAGCAGGACCUGAGCUCUGAACGUCCUCCGGCGCCUUUGAAACUUCUUUCCUUGGGUGCGUAAGCUACGAUAUCCCACUGAGAGCUGCAGAAGUGCCUCUGCCACAGCAGGACAGCGCUGGCCACGCAGCAGGGAGGUCUGAAAGGUUUUUAUGGGUGGUGAGAUAUUCCGGUGCUUGGAUCAAUGUGUUUCAUUUAAUAUUGGGAAGGCGUGGAUUUUUUUUUUCGUUCUUUGGUUGGGUUUUUUAAAGUUGCUGUAAUUAUAAGUCAGCGUAGCAGAUCCAGAUGAGGUGUAUCUACGUGUGUAAACAUGUACAACACUGUUCACGGAGCAAAUGGAACCAUCCCAGGGCAGAAAGAGACCCCGAGGAGCUGCCACGGGGAACAUGGAGGGAAGGGGGAGGCUUUGGCCAGGGAGUUGCUCAAACCCGCUUGAUGUUGGAAGCGCGAUGAAAGCAUGCGUGGACCAAACACAGCUUCUUUUAGCAAAGAAGCCGACUUCCACGAAAGAAACUGGGAUGUCGGGGGUUUGCUUCACCAGCAGUGCUGCGUCAGCCGGAGCUCACCUUAGCCUGAGGUUUAGCAGGAUUUCUGCUGUGCUGUGAGCGACACGGAAGGGGAGACUCUCCCGUGCUUAGCUGAAGCAGCAUCUGCUGGAACGGCGCGAUCUCUCAGCGCUAAAGGUUGCGAAGCCUCAGGUGAGGUCCCAGACACCAGGCAGCGCAGGGGGGAACUUUGCUGCUGGCUUCGGCAUCGCCGGGAUUUCACCCCUCAGCUAGAGAACUGAAGCGUGCUUUUAAUUUCCUCCUGUGCUCGGGUCUGUCCCUGCUCAGCAGAGCGCUAAAUCCUCUGCCUGAGCACUCGCAGUCCUCUGCCAGGACAAUGUGAGAGCUGUCAGGAGCUGUGUUUUGGGGAUUGCGUGAGCCACGUUAGGGGGAAAAAAAUAAGGUUUUUUAAAAAAAUUAUAUUUAGAUGUAAAAAUAAAAGCCUCCUGGGAUUUCUGGACUGAGAUCAGAUGAGGUGCGAUUUGGAUGGUGACACCCUGACAGUAACCAGGUGGACAAACCUGCAUUACCAUGCUCUUCCUUCACUGCAGACCUGCUCUCCCUGGCCAUAGGGUUCCUUUAUAACAGCCUGUUCAGAGUAACUCUGCUCUCCGGUAUAUUUAACUUGCUCUGUUUUCAGUUAGCGACUGCUGAACCGUAUAAAAGAGAGAGGUUUUUAACUUAUAUCCUGGUGUGUAUCUGGAGUUUAGAAAUCUCCGCAGAAGAUUAAGCAAGUUAGAGAGAGAAAUUAGCUUUGAUCCCUUUCUGCCAGCAUAGGAUUAUUCCGCAUCAUGCUGGUUUUGAAGUUCAUGUCUAAUCCGGUUUUACACAUCUCAGGGGACUGGGCUUCUUACGGCUUCUGCGAAGCAGUUGUGCGGUGGAGCCCUCUGAGUUAGAGGCGCUUACUUGAUACUGAGAUUCAAUUUGCAUUUCCAGUACUGCAUCCCAUUUCACCCUGUGCCAUACAGAUAAUGUCGCUACUUCGUGCUCUUUGGCUUUCAAAGGCAUACGGAUCGUGACCGUGCUCGUGCUAUUUUACGUGCUCACUACACACGUAGUAAAGCUAUAUACAUUUGAAUGCCGGUCUUGCAAACAACUCUGCGUGACUUGUGUGUAGGUCUUCGAACUGUUGAACGUAUUUACGUACAGAAGGGCUUGCAGAGUCCAGCGUGGAGCGUAGCGCACAGAAGCAGCUGGCAUGAAACAAGACUGAGAGAGACGGAUGUGCAGAAAUAUUGCUAAUCGAGGCAAAGAGGCGGGUGGUGUAACUGCUUCCCAGCAAAGUGGGAGGUUUAAAGGGUCAGUCCGGAGUUGGUUUUUUUUUUUUUUGCUUUUAAAUGCACUGUUUUAUGGAUGAUGAGUUUGUAAAACCAUAAGUUUUCUUUCUAAUAAAUGUCUGUUUUCAGGCUUAAAAAAAUACUUGUCUGUGAUCCU